rnacentral:sRNA from 1 species
AGUGCAUCUAUAACUGUUACACAUGCGACAGGUGUGUAAUAUAAAGAAAAGGUAUCCAUUUUGAAAAGGAGACAAAUAUCAACCAAUCACCUGCGUAACAUCUGAGGAUUAUCGGUAAUAAAAACAAAGUAUUGGAGACCUCUCAAAAUGCCAUCAUCAUAUGAGUUUCUGACUUACCUGUCCAAUAGUUAUUUGCACGUCUACUGUCCAGAUUGGAUUCCAAUAGACUUCUAUACAGCUAUGUAUUUCGAUGAAAGAUUUAAAGAGCCGCUCGUAAAGGAAAAGAAAACCAAGGAAAAGAAAUCAUCAUCAAGAAUAAAUCAUGUCAUCAGGACUCUUGCUAAGAGACUCCUGGCUAUUCACAGAAAGCUGAAGGUUAAAGAAACUCCUACGAAAUGGAAAACAAAGGGACAAGAGAAUUAAAAUGGAUAUUAAUAAUAUAAAAAUGCAUGAUUGUGUACAUAGACAUAUUUCAAGAUAUAAUUUUAAUCGUUUGCGAUAUAUCGAGUAUCGGUUUCUGAAGCAUUUUGAAGAUACUUCAAGAUAGAAUCUUAAUCAGAAUAAUGUUGUUAAAAUGCAUUCGCCAAAAGCAUUUAAAAGCUAUUCGCAACUGAUAUUUAAUCCCGUUACAAACAUCUUAUAUCAGGGAAAAGUAAGAAAACAUUAAUAUCAAAUAUUUCUAUUUCUUACUUUCAGACUAAACCUUUACUCACCCCCCCCCCCCCCCCCCCCAUCCUUCCUAAGCCCUUUAGGUUGAGGUUUGAACAAACUGAUUCUACUUAUUAAGCUUUUAACAAAAAAAAUUGUAAAAUGCAUUUAAAAAUAUAUAUUAAAUCCACUAAUUUUGC